GACGUAGGGGGCGAGCGUUAUCCGGAAUCACUGGGCGUAAAGCGUGCGUAGGUGGCGCGUUAAGUGAGAUGUUAAAUCGUGUGGCUCAACCAUAUCGAUGCAUCUCAUACUGGCGUGCUAGAGGACAGCAGAGGCAAGUGGAAUUUGUAGUGUAGCAGUGAAAUGCGUAGAUAUUACAAGGAACACCAAUGGCGAAGGCAGCUUGCUGGGCUACUCCUGACACUGAGGUACGAAAGCGUGGGGAGCGAACAGG
rnacentral:rRNA from 1 species